GUUGAACGCUGGCGGCAUGCCUAAUACAUGCAAGUCGAGCGGAUAGAGGGAGCUUGCGCUUGGAUUAAGCGACGGACGGGCGAGUAAUGCAUAGGAAUCUGCCUGGUAUUUGGGGAUAACGUCAGGUCAGGGACGCUAAUAUCACAUAGGUUCAUAUGGUGAAACUGGGGGUUCAUUGGUGCUCAAGGGAUUUGAUGAGACUACGACGUAUUAGCUAGUUGGUGAGGUAAAGGCGUACCAAGGCGACGAUCCGUAACUGCUCUGAGAGGAUGAUCAGUCACACUGGAACUGAGACACGGUCCAGACUCCUACGGGAGGCAGCAGUAGGGAAUAUUGGACAAAGGGCGAAAGCCUGAUCCAGCCAUGCCGCGUGUGUGAAGAAGGUCUUCGGAUUGUAAAGCACUUUUAGUUGGGAGGAAGGGAAGUAAGUUAAACCAUUGCUGUUUUGACGUUACCAACACAAUAAGCCCCGGCUAACUACGUG
rnacentral:rRNA from 1 species